GAUGAAGAACGUAGCGAAAUGCGAUAAGUAAUGCGAAUUGCAGAAUCCGUGAGUCAUCGAAUCUUUGAACGCACAUUGCACCUCUCGGUAUUCCGGGAGGUAUGCCUGUUCGAGCGUCAUUUGUACCCUCAAGCUCUGCUUGGUGUUGGGUGUUUGUUCCGCCUCUGUGUGUGAACUCGCCUCAAAACAAUUGGCAGCCGGCGUACUUGUUUCGGAGCGCAGCACAUUUUGCGAUCCAGAUCAACGUACAGCGGCAUCCAAGAAGCCUUAUUUAACGCUCUUGACCUCGGAUCAGGUAGGGAUACCCGCUGAACUUAAGCAUAUCAAUAAGCGGAGGA
rnacentral:misc_RNA from 1 species